AAUCGAUUUCGAUUCCGGAGGUCUUGGAUCUGUUGUUUUAACCUUGUUCUGCGUUGCAGGGACGGUGCCCACUUCUUGAAAGACGCUGUGAUUCCAUCUAUUAAUAUUGUGGAAUGGCUUGUUAGGUCUGGGAUCCGCGCCUUUGUUUACAGCGGAGAUCAAGAUUCAAGGACCUCCCUAAUUGGAACCAGGUCUUUACUGGAGGGAUUGGCAAAGAAGCUGAAGCUGAAAACAAGCGUGCCUUACAGAAAUUGGUUCGAGAAGAAACAGGUGGGUGGGUGGACGCAAGUGUACGGUGAUAUCCUAUCUUUUGCGACCAUCAGAGGAGGUUCUAACACAGCACCCAUAUCACAACCGGCGAGAUCACUGGCGCUGUUUACGGCAUUUCUAGAAGGAAAGCCCCUCCCAGAUGCAUGAAACUCAUCAAUUUCAUGGUUGAAUGAAUAAGUUGGAGGGGAUGGUGUUUUAUCUCGCCAGCAAAUGUCACAUCCUCUGUGUAUGGAUGUGUUUCAUUUAUAUACAUAUAGUGGAAAAAUAAUUGUAUCAUGUAAUUUGAAUUUGGGUGUAAAAGUUUUAAUAGUCUACACGAA